CCCCAGUAGGUUUGAGUAUUAUGCUCAGAUUGAACGCUGGCGGCAGGCCUAACACAUGCAAGUCGAGCGGAUGAGUGGAGCUUGCUCCAUGAUUCAGUCGGCGGACGGGGUGAGUAAUGCCUAGGAAUCUGCAUGGUAGUGGGGGACAACGUUUCGAAAGGAACGCUAAUACCGCAUACGUCCUACGGGAGAAAGUGGGGGAUCUUCGGACCUCACGCUAUCAGAUGAGCCUAGGUCGGAUUAGCUAGUUGGUGAGGUAAAGGCUCACCAGGGCGCCGAUCCGUAACUGGUCUGAGAGGAUGAUCAGUCACACUGGAAUUGAGACACGGUCCAGACUCCUACGGGAGGCAGCAGUGGGGAAUAUUGGACAAUGGGCGAAAGCCUGAUCCAGCCAUGCCGCGUGUGUGAAGAAGGUCUUCGGAUUGUAAAGCACUUUAAGUUGGGAGGAAGGGCAGUAAGUUAAUACCUUGCUGUUUUGACGUUACCAACAGAAUAAGCACCGGCUAACUUGGUGCCAGCAGCCGCGGUAAUACGAAGGGUGCAAGCGUUUAUCGGAAUUACUGGGCGUAAAGCGCGCGUAGGUGGUUCGUUAAUUUGGAUGUGAAAGCCCCGGGCUCAACCUGGGAACUGCAUCCAAAACUGGCGAGCUAGAGUAUGGCAGAGGGUGGUGGAAUUUCCUGUGUAGCGGUGAAAUGCGUAGAUAUAGGAAGGAACACCAGUGGCGAAGGCGACCACCUGGGCUAAUACUGACACUGAGGUGCGAAAGCGUGGGGAGCAACCAGGAUUAAAUACCCUGGUAGUCCACGCCGUAAACGAUGUUGACUAGCCGUUGGGAUCCUGAGAUCUUAGUGGCGCAGCUAACGCAUUAAGUGGACCGCCUGCAUGUGGUUCAAACC
rnacentral:rRNA from 2 species